UACAGAGGAGCCAAGCGUUGUCCGGAUUUACUGGGCGUAAAGCGCACGCAGGCGGAUGCGCGCGUGGGGUGUGAAAUCUGGCCGCUUAACGGCCAGGCGCCAUCCCAUACGGCGCGUCUGGAGUGAUGCAGAGGUCGAUGGAAUUGCCGGUGUAGUGGUGAAAUGCGUAGAGAUCGGCAGGAACACCCAGGGGGAAACCAGUCGACUGGGCAUCUACUGACGCUGAGGUGCGAGAGCGUGGGGAGCGAACAGG
rnacentral:rRNA from 1 species